CCUUCCCUUCCGCAAGACGAAACAGGAGUCCGGUGGCCCUUCAGAGACUUGGCAAAAUUUAUCCCCGGCAUAAGGAGCAGCGAACACUCAGAAUUCCUGCACGUAUUUUACAAAUUCUAUCCCGCCCAGAAGUCACAAUUUUGGUGCAUCUUACAACAACGAAGAAACGCAAUUCGGACAGCAGCAGUCAAAUAACAGAAACAAACAGCAGCCGAGCAGGAUGAAACAUUCUGAAACAAGGGACACACUGAAAGACAGACUAAGAGCUUGUUAAUUAAAAUAAUAAUAAUAAUUGACCUGGUAUUUCUUUCAGCAUGGGUGGAAGCCAGGAUGGGACCUAGUCAGUGUUGUGCCAACCAUCUGCUAUGCGUACAACACAACCAGCAAUUGCAGUGUGAGCUACUGGCCAAAAGAAAUAGCACACCACCAUAAUAGAGAAAUGCUUGACACAAUGUUAUAUGCCGC